GAACUACUCCCUCCGUCCCAAAAUUCUUGUCUUAGAUUUAUCUAGAUACGGAUAAAAUUCUUGUCUUAGAUUUAUCUAGAUACGGAUACAUCCGUAUCUAGAUAAAUCUAAGACAAGAAUUUUGGGACGGAGGGAGUACUGU
rfam:Triticum aestivum genome assembly, contig: Triticum_aestivum_CS42_TGACv1_scaffold_379318_5AL